rnacentral:rRNA from 1 species
ACGUAGGUGGCGAACGUUAUCCGGAGUGACUGGGUGUAAAGGGUCCGUAGGCGGGAGCCUAAGUCAGACGUGAAAUCCCCCGGCUUAACCUGGGAACUGCGUCUGAUACUGGACGGCUUGAGUAUGGGAGAGGGAUGUAGAAUUCCAGGUGUAGCGGUGAAAUGCGUAGAUAUCUGGAGGAAGACCGGUGGCGAAGGCGGCAUCCUGGACCAUUACUGACGCUGAGGCGAGAAAGCUAGGGGAGCAAACGGGA